GUUGCAUUUCCCCAGAAAGGCUCUUACCAUAGGCGUCUUCCUCAUCUCUUGCCAUCUUCCUUCCUCCCAUGCUUCUUAGAAGGCUCUCGGUUUUGGUUUUCUCAUUUGUGUGCUCAUUCCUGCAGCUGAGCAAAACCCAACCACAGAGUCAGGCAAAUUCUAAAGAAUACAAAGCAAGGCUUUUGUCUGCAAGGAGCCGAGCAUUUAGGCGUGCGCUUCUGUUUACAGGCACUUCGGGGGCACCUUUUGUCCACCAUAGUAAGUUCUUCUAUUCCUUCUUAGAGAUAGCAUCUGGAUUUUGAAGAAUAACAUCUAGGGGGACCAGAAAGAUGGUUGCAAUGCUAGCUUGACAACCUGAGCUUUCUCUCCUGACCUCAGGAAAGGUGGAGUGAACCAACGCCACAAAGUUGUCUUAUGAGUCUCCAAGCCCUUUGCUCUAAACUUUCCCCUUCUACUACCUAUGUUCUGGUUGUAACAUUAUCUGGUACAGCCAAGCACUUCCGGGUCACUUAAGCCUAAUUCCAGGAGUCCCUAAGCGCAAAGCAGUGCCCCCCCCUCCCCCCCCAGUCUGCUACUCCAACCUCUUAUUCAGCUAACAGGUCUCAGCCAGUGACUGCCCAGAAAUCAGAUUCAACCUCUCCCUGGCCUUUCUCUGGUGAUAGCUUUGGUUCCACAUUCCUGUCUGAGUGCUUAUCUGCAUCUCUCCACCAUUUCAUGCUCCAUCUCUUUGUCUCCACUAUGGGUGACAUGUUCCCUCCCUCUCUUCCUCCUGUGGGCACAACACCAGAGAAGGGUAAUGUUAACUCAAUAGCCUAUCUCCCACAGAAGGGCUUUGCAAACCAGAUGGGCUAAUACCCCUUCCAUCUCCCAAAGCCUUUAGUCAAACACUCUGUGGGAUUCCAUGUCUCUGUCCUGUGUGCAGAAAUCAGCAAAUGCCCACAAAUGACACAGAUCAGAACUGAAGAAACAGCCGUAAGAGCGGGGGCAAUGAGCAAGGUAAGAGCGAGAGCAAUGAGCAAGGCUUCUGCAGGAGCUGGAGGAGCUCUUCCUGGGGGAAAAUGAGGAGGAGGCACAGGGACUCCAUGGAAGCCCAGGGCAGGACGCUGGGGCUUCCAGAGUUCAGAGUGGAGGCUGGGCUUCCUUUGAUAGUUUCUAAGAGAAAGGCAAACACCGAGUGAAAUCUCGGGCGAUAAAUGUUUCUAUUAUCUGGGAACAUAAAGCACAUGCAGUUCUAUAUGCUCAAGAGAGCCCGGGAUAGUCCAGGUCCUUGCCUACAAGCUUGAUGGGGUUUUGGUUUUUGUUUUUUGGGGCUUUUUUGUUUGUUUGUUUGGUUGGUUUGGUUUGGUUUUUGUUUGGUUGGUUGGUUGGUUUUGGUUUUUGGUUUUUUUGUUUGUUUGUUUUGUUUUUUUGAAGUAUUUAGGUGUUCCCCUCAACAUCACACUUCUUGGAUCUAUCCUCAGUUGUUCUGAUACAACAAGUAGUAUCUUUCUCACAAGCUUAAUCUGCAUCCAGAAUUUGAAGAACAUUAUUUCUUAAACCCUUCCUUGUAGACGCGGAGAAACAGAGGUAUCCCUGCAGUUGGAGUGGGACAAACUCCAGGAAGACAAGUGAGGACUAAUUCCAUUCCUCUCAAGUUUGCUAGAGCCCCUCCGACUGGCAAGGAGAAGAAGAGACUUCUGAGAGACAGACGUGGCCCAUGAGGAGUAGCCAUGAAAGCAUGGUUUAUAAGGACACAGAAGGAUCGUUUGCCUUUGCUGAAUGUGCUUUUUUUUUCUAUAGAAAGAAACAUUUAAUGAAAUUUCUUUCAAAAUUCAUCACUUUACUCUUUAACUUGUUUUUUGGCCAAAGUACACAGUCCUGGAAGGUACUAGGUAAAGACAUGUUUUUUCAAGACCUUUUAAGUUUCUUUGAUACACCAGACAUCACCAGCUAAAGAUACCAUGC
ensembl:processed_transcript Gimap1os GTPase, IMAP family member 1, opposite strand